GCAGCCUGCCUGAGGCCCGGCCUAUUCUCACAGCGCCCUUUUCUCGUGGGAGACACACACACACUUUCAAAACUGCUAUGCAGUUUCUCCUCUAAGGAAUGUAAGUACACAUGGGGUGAUAGGACGUGGGGAAAGAAAGAAGAUCCGAUCCUGGUCUGAAAACAUAGUGAGGUCGCAGCAGCCUUCCUCAAACCUUGACACAAGAAUUGGGGCAGAACCCAUGGUCCCCAAGCCUGGAGCAUCAGGCCCAUCAGGCCCUGCAGGACAGCAGCUGGGACUCUUCCCGCUCAGAUCAUCCUGCUGCUUCCUAGCUGUGUGUCCUAAAGUAAAUUAUCUCCCUCCUCUGAGCCUCUGUCUCCCUAAAUGGGGCCGUAAACCUGUCAAUCACAGACAGCCAGGACCCGGCCUGCACCAGGGAUCAGGCAGAGCCUGCCAUCUCCAGUUCUACUGGCAGAAGAUCAAGCAGGAUUUUGAUAGAGCGGCCUAGAUCUGACGUCAGCCUGAGGAGCAGGCUGGCCACGCACACAAGCUCCUGGCCCCUGGAAGCUUUUUCAGGGGUCCACUCUCGCCCUGUAGAGCGUAAUUCCUUUCCGACCUUUAAUAAAUGUAAAACCUG